CUGGUCACGUAUGCGGUGUUUUAUUGGGAAGUGCUUGAAUGACGGUAUUUUACCUGCACACCUUUUAGAAGAGGUUGUCUGUACCUGGGGUUUCAAACAGGAACAACUGAAGAAUGGCCUUUCCGAAGAGUCCAGGACAGUGUUCAGUCUACACCAAAGGAAAAACAGAGGAAAGUAGAUGUCAUGAGGGUUAAAAGGAGCAGGGUGCCAUUAGAGCGGACCAACAGCAAGAAAAGCAGGUUAAACUGGUCCGCGGUCCGCAUGAGGGCGAUUGCUGUGAAGAUGGAUGAAGCCAUCGGGAGUUUGGGAGCCAGCCUUCAACACACAUCAUUACAGACAGUAGCAAGCUGAUCAUCCUGUCCGCAGCACCUCUGUUUGAACCCACAGUACAUGCAU